rnacentral:rRNA from 1 species
AGAGUUUGAUCCUGGCUCAGAACGAACGCUGGCGGCAGGCCUAACACAUGCAAGUCGAGCGGACAACCUUCGGGUUGUUAGCGGCGAACGGGUGAGUAACACGUGAGAAUCUGCCUUGUUCAAGGGGAUAGUCCAAGGAAACUUGGGGUAAUACCGUAUGAUUCCUGUGAUCAGGUAAAGAAAGAUUUCUUUCGGAACAAGAUGAGCUUGCGGUAGAUUAGCUAGUUGGUAAGGGUAAAAGCCUACCAAGGCAACGAUCUAUAGCUGGUCUGUGAGGACGACCAGCCACAUUGGGACUGAGACAAGGCCCAACCUUCUAUGGAAGGCAGCAGUGGGGAAUAUUGGACAAUGGGCGCAAGCCUGAUCCAGCUAUGCCGCAUGAGUAACGAAGGUCUUACAAAGGGGUACAAAAUAUGUACUUUAGACUGUAAAACUCAAUUUAUUAGUGAUAAUAAUGAUGUUAACUGAUAAAAGCUCCGGCCAACUUCGUGCCAGCAGCCGCGGUAAUACGAGGGGAGCGAGUGUUGUUCGGUUUUAAUGGGCGUAAAGGGUGCGUAGGCUGUUCUGUAAGUCAAUAGUCAAAUCUUGGAGCCCAACUCUAUAAAGGGUAUUGAUACUGCAUUACUACGAACUUAACAGGGGUGUAACACAAUUCCAAGUGUAGGGGUGAAAUCCGUUGAUAUUUGGAGGAGUACCAGAGGCGAAGGCGGUUCACUAGGUUAAGUUGACGCUGAGGCACGAAAGCGUGGGGAGCAAACAGGAUUAGAUACCCUGGUAGUCCACGCCCUAAACGAUGAGUGCUAACAAGUUGAGUAUCAAAUGCCCUUAUCAAAGAUGUGUUUUCGAACACAUCAGAGGUUUGGUCUACAUUUAUAUUUGAUUGGGAAAGCUAACGCGUUAAGCACUCCGCCUGGGGACUACGGUCGCAAGGCUAAAACUCAAAGGAAUUGACGGAGACCCGCACAAGCGGUGGAGCAUGUGGUUUAAUUCGAAGCUACACGAAGAACCUUACCAGCUCUUGACAUUUUAGGCUAA